GAUGAAGAACGUAGCGAAAUGCGAUACUUGGUGUGAAUUGCAGAAUCCCGUGAACCAUCGAGUCUUUGAACGCAAGUUGCGCCCGAAGCCAUUAGGCCGAGGGCACGCCUGCCUGGGCGUCACACGUCGUUGCCCCCCCAUCUACUCCUUCGGGAUUGCGGGGGGCGGAUGAUGGCCUCCCGUGCGCCUCGUCGCGCGGUUGGCAUAAAUGCCAAGUCCUCGGCGACACACGCCACGACAAUCGGUGGUUGCGAAACCUCGGUUGCCCGUCGUGUGCGGUCGUCGCGCAUCGAGGGCUCGAAAAAAUUGCCGGGCUCCGGCUCGGCUUUCAACGCGACCCCAGGUCAGGCGGGGUUACCCGCUGAAUUUAAGCAUAUCAAAAGCGGAGGA
rnacentral:misc_RNA from 1 species